AAGCCGUUUCGCUCUGCCCUAGAUAGCGAGCCCGUUAUGGGUUUGGUGGUCUGCCUGCAUUAUCGCUAGUCACUCUCGAGUGGCGACACCCUCAAAUUGCGGGAAACCCUCCAAGGGCAACACUACUAAGCAGCUGCCGAAAGGCAUGCUGUGGCGGCGGAGUAACUCCCGCCGGUAUAGUAAUAACGUGUUUGCUUAUGAGGCUACUCGCAGCCAAGCCCCUACGUGCAUGCCAGGCAGCAGUUAAUGAAACUUCGGAUGAAACAUCGGACCAAACCCCGGAUGAAAUUCAAGUGAUUCACUGCUUGUGUGGUUAGAGACUGUGAUUCACAGGCCGGUUUGCCUGGUCAGUGAAUCACCGCACAGGGGGAAGGUUCAGAGACUUGACGGGGGUGGGCAGGGAUAUAAAUAAGAGCCUUCUCUCCCUCCACAGCAGCAGAAUGCGUCUGUGCGUAUAGCUGGGAGCUCGGAAUUCAACCAAUAUCUCUCGUCUAAGAUAAAGUCCAUGCCACGCGUGAAAACGCUGGAAGUGGAAAUUUGCACCUAGUUGCAGAUGCAGCACCCUAAAAAGGGAGCCUGCGGCUUAAUUUGACUCAACACGGGGAAACUCACCAGGUCCAGACACAAUGAGGAUUGACAGAUUGAGAGCUCUUUCUUGAUUUUGUGGGUGGUGGUGCAUGGCCGUUCUUAGUUGGUGGAGUGAUUUGUCUGCUUAAUUGCGAUAACGAACGAGACCUUAACCUGCUAAAUAGCCCGUAUUGCUUUGGCAGUACGCCGGCUUCUUAGAGGGACUAUCGGCUCAAGCCGAUGGAAGUUUGAGGCAAUAACAGGUCUGUGAUGCCCUUAGAUGUUCUGGGCCGCACGCGCGUUACACUGACAGAGCCAGCGAGUACUUCCUUGUCCGAAAGGGCCGGGUAAUCUUGUUAAACUCUGUCGUGCUGGGGAUAGAGCAUUGCAAUUAUUGCUCUUCAACGAGGAAUCCCUAGUAAGCGCAAGUCAUCAGCUUGCGUUGAUUACGUCCCUGCCCUUUGUACACACCGCCCGUCGCUACUACCGAUUGAAUGGCUCAGUGAGGCUUUCGGACUGGCUCAGAGAGGUGGGCAACUACCACUCAGAGCCGGAAAGUUAUCCAAACUCGGUCAUUUAGAGGAAGUAAAAGUCGUAACAAGGUCUCCGUUGGUGAACCAGCGGAGG
rnacentral:rRNA from 1 species